CGGAGCGCAGCGCGCUGGGCUCCGGGCGCGGGCAGCAGCUGCCGGGCUCGCUGGCUCCGCGCUGCUGCGCUUCAGGCCACAAUCAUGACUGAGGUUCUACUGUGCUAGGUGGUGUACAAACCCACAUGAAGACAGUGUCACUGUCCCAAAGAGCUUGCAAUCUAGGACUGAGAAUUUAGCCAUAGCCUCUCCCGUAACUGAGUGAAGUGAGAAACUGGACAGAU